rnacentral:rRNA from 1 species
UAUUAAAGUUGUUGCAGUUAAAAAGCUCGUAGUUGGAUCUCGGGCGCAGGCUAGCGGUCCACCUCGCGGUGGUUACUGCUCGUCCUGCCCUACCAUCGGGUUUUCCCUUGGUGCUCUUCGCUGAGUGUCUCGGGUGGCCAGAACGUUUACUUUGAAAAAAUUAGAGUGUUCAAAGCAGGCGCAUCGCCUGAAUAAUGGUGCAUGGAAUAAUGGAACAGGACCUCGGUUCUAUUUUGUUGGUUUUCGGAAGUCGAGGUAAUGAUUAAGAGGGACAGAUGGGGGCAUUCGUAUUACGGUGUUAGAGGUGAAAUUCUUGGAUCGCCGUAAGACGAACUACUGCGAAAGCAUUUGCCAAGAAUGUUUUCAUUAAUCAAGAACGAAAGUCAGAGGUUCGAAGACGAUCAGAUACCGUCGUAGUUCUGACCAUAAACGAUGCCAACUAGCGAUCCGCCGGAGUUGUUUUAAUGACUCGGCGGGCAGCUUCCGGGAAACCAAAGUUUGUGGGUUCCGGGGGAAGUAUGGUUGCAAAGCUGAAACUUAAAGGAAUUGA